rnacentral:rRNA from 1 species
AUAGCGUAUAUUAAAGUUGUUGCAGUUAAAAAGCUCGUAGUUGAAUUUCGGGGUUAGCAGGUCGGUCGUGCCAUCGGUAUGAACUGGUCUCGCUGAUCCCUCCCUCUUGACGAACUGUGAUGCCAUUAAUUUGGUGUCGCAGGGAAUCAGGACUGUUACUUUGAAAAAAUUAGAGUGUUUAAAGCAGGCUCACGCUUGAAUACAUUAGCAUGGAAUAAUGAAAUAGGACGUUUGAUCCUAUUUUGUUGGCUUCUAGGAUUGACGUAAUGAUUAAUAGGGAUAGUUGGGGGCAUUAGUAUUCAAUUGUCAGAGGUGAAAUUCUUGGAUUUAUUGAAGACUAACUACUG